AGCAGCCGCGGUAAUUCCAGCUCCAAUAGCGUAUAUUAAAGUUGUUGCAGUUAAAAAGCUCGUAGUUGAAUUUCGGGACCAAUCUGCCGGUCGUGCCUCCGGUACGCACUGGCUUUAUUGGUUUCUCCCUUCUGACAAACCAUGAUGUCAUUAAUUUGGUGUCAUGGGGAAUCAGGACUGUUACUUUGAAAAAAUUUAGAGUGUUUAUAGCAGGCUCACGCUUGAAUACAUUAGCAUGGAAUAAUGAAAUAGGACGUUUGACCCUAUUUUGUUGGUUUCUAGGAUCGACGUAAUGAUUAAUAGGGAUAGUUGGGGGCAUUAGUAUUCAAUUGUCAGAGGUGAAAUUCUUGGAUUUAUUGAAGACUAACUACUGCGAAAGCAUUUGCCAAGGAUGUUUUCAUUAAUCAAGAACGAAAGUUAGGGGAUCGAAGACGAUCAGAUACCGUCGUAGUCUUAACCAUAAACUAUGCCGACUAGGGAUCGGAUGAUGUUAAUUUUUUAAUGACUCAUUCGGCGCCUU
rnacentral:rRNA from 1 species